ensembl:lncRNA
CUACAGCAGUAUCAGAUGAAGCAGCUGAAGCGGGUUGAUGCGGUUCCAUGUGUUCUACAGCAGUAUCAGAUGAAGCAGCUGAAGCAGGUUGAUGCGGUUCCAUGUGUUCUAGCUGAAGCAGGUUGAUGCGGUUCCAUGUGUCCUAGCUGAAGCAGGUUGAUGCGGUUCCAUGUGUCCUAGCUGAAGCAGGUUGAUGCGGUUCCAUGUGUCCUAGCUGAAGUGGGUUGAUGCGGUUCCAUGUGUUCUAGCUGGAUCACUGCCUCCUCUCUCACCCCUAGCUGUUUGUUUGCUCACCCUCCCUGUUUUACGGAUGUUUGCCAGAUGGCUGCCCCUCACAAAUGGAAAUUAAAAUAAGUGUGUGGACAGGAGUUGAUUAAAAGAGAUGACAGAUGAUACGGGCCUGGCUCCCCCCACAGGGCAUAUGAGGGUCAGUUCUUAGAGUAAUUGAAAGAGUUGCUAACGGCACUGUUAAAACUGAUACAGUCCUCGCUUCUCUAUUCAACUGCACAUUUCUGAUUGGAACCCAGCUAUAUUUAUGUAGUUUAAAGUAAAAAAAAAAAAAAAAACAGUAUUUGACACAGUUUUAAUCUACUUGGCCCAAUGGACAGCCUUUGGGGAAUCUGAUACCACAGUGAACUUAAGAUCGCUCCGGUGUCAGUCAGAGACACUAGGGGUCAGAGGU